rnacentral:rRNA from 1 species
UACGUAGGUGGCGAGCGUUAAUCGGAAUUACUGGGCGUAAAGCGUGCGCAGGCGGUGAUGUAAGACAGGUGUGAAAUCCCCGGGCUUAACCUGGGAACUGCAUUUGUGACUGCAUCGCUGGAGUGCGGCAGAGGGGGAUGGAAUUCCGCGUGUAGCAGUGAAAUGCGUAGAUAUGCGGAGGGACACCGAUGGCGAAGGCAAUCCCCUGGGCCUGCACUGACGCUCAUGCACGAAAGCGUGGGGAGCAAACAGG